UACAGAGGGUGCAAGCGUUGUUCGGAAUUAUUGGGCGUAAAGGGCGCGUAGGCGGUGCGGUAAGUCCGCAGUGAAAUCUCUGGGCUCAACUCAGAGUCUGCUGUGGAAACUGCCGUGCUUGAGUGUGGGAGAGGUGAGUGGAAUUCCCAGUGUAGCGGUGAAAUGCGUAGAUAUUGGGAGGAACACCAGUGGCGAAGGCGGCUCACUGGACCGGUACUGACGCUGAUGGCGCGAAAGCGUGGGGAGCAAACGGGAUUAGAUGACCCCCAGUAGUCC
rnacentral:rRNA from 1 species